GAACCCGGAGCGCAAUGGGUUAGCGCGUUUGACUUCUAAUCAACAAUUGACGGGUUCG
rnacentral:tRNA from 1 species